rnacentral:ncRNA from 1 species
UAUACAGUGUUGAAAGAGAGCGGUGUUAAUCAGGUUUCUAUAGAGAGUCGGUGGUUGGUGUAAAUCGAUGAAAACUAUUAAUACAAAUCACUCCGGAGCUUUCAUCUCGAAACUUAGUAAAGGUGAACGGGACGUCCCGUUAUAGACGAAGGAUUUGUUAGAAUCCGUUUGAGUGGCCAAAGGCAAUUAGGGUGGUAACGCGAGCGAACCUCGUCCCUACA